GAUGNACGCUAACGNGCGGCCUAUACAUGCAAGUACCGGGGCAGCACAAAGAUAGCUUGCUAUUUUGGUGGCGACCGGCGCACGGGUGCGUAACGCGUAUGCAAUCUACCUUAUACUGGGGUAUAGCCCGAAGAAAUUCGGAUUAAUCCCCCAUAGUACUGAUAUACCUCAUGGUAAUUCAGUUAAAGUUUCGGCGGUAUGAGAUGAGCAUGCGUCCUAUUAGCUAGAUGGUAAGGUAACGGCUUACCAUGGCUACGAUAGGUAGGGGGCCUGAGAGGGUGACCCCCCACACUGGUACUGAGACACGGACCAGACUCCUACGGGAGGCAGCAGUGAGGAAUAUUGGUCAAUGGGCGCAAGCCUGAACCAGCCAUGCCGCGUGCAGGAAGAAUGCCCUAUGGGUUGUAAACUGCUUUUAUUUAGGAAUAAACCUUUCUACGUGUAGAAAGCUGAAGGUAC
rnacentral:rRNA from 1 species